AUGGGGACAGUCGCAAUCUACAGCCUUUUCAUCAUCAACAAGUCUGGCGGCCUUAUAUACUACAAGGACUAUGGCUCAGCGGGGAGAAUGGACACCAACGACAGUUUGCGUCUGGCGAGUCUCUGGCACUCGAUGCAUGCUAUCUCACAGCAGCUGUCCCCUACCACUGGCUGUACUGGCAUUGACCUCUUACAGGCCCACAAUUUCGAUCUCCAUUGCUUCCAAUCCCUCACAGGGACCAAAUUUUUCGUUGUAUGCGAAACAGGCGCUCAAAAUAUGGAAAUCCUGCUGAAAACUAUAUAUGAGCUGUACACGGAGUUUGUUUUGAAGAACCCAUUCUACGAGAUGGAGAUGCCAAUCCGGUGUGAGCUCUUUGACCUCAACUUAGCUCAUGUCAUCCAGAAGGACCGUGUCGCACUUCUGGGCCGGUGA
rnacentral:rRNA from 1 species